UGCCUUGUCGUCUAAUGGUAGGACAUCAGAUUCUGGAUCUGAGUAUCAUGGUUCGAAUCCAUGCGAGGCAA
rnacentral:tRNA from 1 species